rnacentral:rRNA from 1 species
UACGAAGGGGGCUAGCGUUGUUCGGAAUCACUGGGCGUAAAGGGCGCGUAGGCGGCCGAUCAAGUCGGGGGUGAAAGCCUGUGGCUCAACCACAGAAUUGCCUUCGAUACUGUUUGGCUUGAGACCGGAAGAGGUUAGUGGAACUGCGAGUGUAGAGGUGAAAUUCGUAGAUAUUCGCAAGAACACCAGUGGCGAAGGCGGCUGACUGGCCCGGUACUGACGCUGAGGUGCGAAAGCGUGGGGAGCAAACAGG